UACAGAGGUCCCAAGCGUUGUUCGGAUUCAUUGGGCGUAAAGGGUGCGUAGGUGGCGUGGUAAGUCGGGUGUGAAAUCCCGGGGCUCAACCCCGGGACUGCAUUCGAUACUGCCGUGCUUGAGGACUGGAGAGGAGACUGGAAUUUACGGUGUAGCAGUGAAAUGCGUAGGGAUCGUAAGGAAGACCAGUGGCGAAGGCGGGUCUCUGGACAGUUCCUGACACUGAGGCACGAAGGCCAGGGGAGCAAACGGG
rnacentral:rRNA from 1 species